rnacentral:rRNA from 1 species
UCCUACGGGGGGCAGCAGUAGGGAAUUUUCGUCAAUGGGCGCAAGCCUGAACGAGCAAUGCCGCGUGAACGAGGAAGGUCUUCUGAUCGUAAGGUUCUGUUGAAGGGGAAAAAGAGCGGAGAGAGGAAAUGGUCUCCGAUUGAUAUUACCCUUCGAGGAAGUCACGGCUAACUACGUGCCAGCAGCCGCGGUAAUACGUAGGUGGCGAGCGUUAUCCGGAAUGAUUGGGCGUAAAGGGUGCGUAGGCGGCCUGCUAAGUCUGGAGUGAAAGGUACCGGCUCAACCGGUACAGGCUCUGGAAACUG